UACGUAGGGGGCAAGCGUUGUCCGGAUUUAUUGGGCGUAAAGAGCGUGUAGGCGGCCAGGUAGGUCUGCUGUGAAAACUCGAGGCUUAACCUCGAGCUGUCGGCGGAAACCAUCUGGCUAGAGUCCGGAAGAGGAGAAUGGAAUUCCCGGUGUAGCGGUGAAAUGCGCAGAUAUCGGGAAGAACACCCGUGGCGAAGGCGGUCUCUGGGACGGUACUGACGCUGAGACGCGAAAGCGUGGGGAGCGAACAGGAUUA
rnacentral:rRNA from 1 species